GACGAACGCUGGCGGCGUGCUUAACACAUGCAAGUCGAACGGAAAGGCCCUGCUUUUGUGGGUUGCUCGAGUGGCGAACGGGUGAGUAACACGUGAGUAACCUGCCCUUGACUUUGGGAGAACUUCAGGAAACUGGGGCUAAUACCGGAUAGGAUCUCCUGCUGCAUGGUGUGGGUUGGAAAGUUUCGGCGGUUGUGGAUGGACUCGCGGCUUAUCAGCUUGUUGGUGGGGUAGUGGCUUACCAAGGCUUUGACGGGUAGCCGGCCUGAGAGGGUGACCGGCGACAUUGGGACUGAGGUACGGCCCAGACUCCUACGGGAGGCAGAAGUGGGGAAUCUUGCACAGUGGGCGGAAGCCUGAUGCAGAAACGCCGCGUGCGGGAUGACGGCUUUCGAGUUGUAAACCGCUUUCGCAUGUGACGAAGCGUGCGUGACGGUAAUGGGUAAAGAAGCAACGGCUAACUACGUG
rnacentral:rRNA from 1 species